rnacentral:tRNA from 1 species
GCCUCCGUAGCUCAGGGGAUAGAGCGCUUCCGUCCUAAGGAAGGCGUCGGGGGUUCGAAUCCCUCCGGGGGCA